AUACGUAGGGGACGAGCGUUGUCCGGAAUUACUGGGCGUAAAGGGCGCGCAGGCGGAUAUUUAAGUCAGCUGUAAAAGGCAUGAGCUCAACUCAUGUAUGCGGUUGAAACUGGGUAUCUAGAGUGCUGGAGAGGUAGGCGGAAUUCCCGGUGUAGCGGUGAAAUGCGUAGAUAUCGGGAAGAACACCAGUGGCGAAGGCGGCUUACUGGCCAGCAACUGACGCUGAGGCGCGAAAGCCAGGGGAGCGAACGGGAUUAGAUACCCCAGUAGUCCUGGCCGUAAACGAUGAAUGCUAGGUGUGGGUGUCGAGAGGCAUCCGUGCCGGAGUUAACGCGAUAAGCAUUCCGCCUGGGGAGUACGAUCGCAAGAUUGAAACUCAAAUGAAUUGACGGGG
rnacentral:rRNA from 1 species